CAGUUAGUUGGUGGGGUAAUGGCCUACCAAGACAAUGAUGCGUAGUCAGCCUGAGAGGGUGAAUGGCCACAAGGGAACUGAGACACGGUCCCUACUCCUAUAAGGAGGCAGCAGUGAGGAAUUUUCGGCAAUGGGGGAAACCCUGACCGAGCAAUACUACGUGAAGGAGGAAGGUCUAAGGAUUGUAAACUUCUGUUAGCGCGGAAGAAGGGCUGAACGUGAGUUCAGUUUUGACGGUACGCGCAGAGAAAGUCACGACUAACUAUGUGCCAGCAGUCGCGGUAAGACAUAGGUGGCGAACGUUAUCCGGAAUUAUUGGGCGUAAAGGAUGCGUAGAUGGCGUGAUAAGUUAUCAGUGGUAAAUCGGGGCUCAACCUCGUGGAAGCUGUUAAUACUGUCAUGCUUGAGUUCAGGAGAAGUUAACGGAACUCCAUGUGGAGCGGUAAAAUGUGACGAUAUAUGGAAGAACACCGAUAAGGCGAAGGCAGUUAACUAUUCUGUUACUGACAUUGAGGCAUGAAAGCGUGGGGAGCAAAACGGAUUAGAUACCCGUGUAGUC
rnacentral:rRNA from 1 species